rnacentral:rRNA from 1 species
AACGAACGCUGGCGGCAUGCCUAACACAUGCAAGUCGAACGAGACCUUCGGGUCUAGUGGCGCACGGGUGCGUAACGCGUGGGAACCUGCCCUUAGGUUCGGAAUAACUCCCCGAAAGGGGUGCUAAUACCGGAUAAUGUCUUCGGACCAAAGAUUCAUCGCCUUUGGAUGGGCCCGCGUUGGAUUAGCUAGUUGGUAGGGUAAAAGCCUACCAAGGCGACGAUCCAUAGCUGGUCUGAGAGGAUGAUCAGCCACACUGGGACUGAGACACGGCCCAGACUCCAACGGGAGGCAGCAGUGGGGAAUAUUGGACAAUGGGCGAAAGCCUGAUCCAGCAAUGCCGCGUGAGUGAUGAAGGCCUUAGGGUUGUAAAGCUCUUUUACCCGGGAUGAUAAUGACAGUACCGGGAGAAUAAGCUCCGGCUAACUCCGUG